rnacentral:lncRNA from 1 species
AGUGCCUGGGAAAAGCCCGAGAAAAGCCCUGUCGGCUCCCUCUUCCUGGCUGCUAAAGUUGACACAAGACGGCUUCUUGGAACUCCCCCUCCUCCCGCCUAAAUGUACAGAGCAAGACUUGAAGUCAAAAGAUAGAUAGCGAUCGUGCUGAAAGUCAGGUGGAAAACAAGACUGCUAAUUUUAUGAAACAACCUAUCAACCCACUGGGAAGAGAUGACAAGAGGUACAUGGGCGCUUCUGCAGGAGGUGGAGGUGGAGGUGAAAUGCCGAGGUUCUAGACUGAUGUAAAUUUCUCCAACUAACUCCAGAUCGAGAGCCUACAAAUCCGACAAAUAUGCCCACACUUUGACAGUAACCGCCUCCCAGCACGCCCCACCACCGCCAACACACAUGGAGGGGUUUGAACUUUUCCACCUUCCGGACCUCUGCAGUCCGUCGCAGGACGCCCAAACCACAGGCCGGACACAGAUGAAGCCAGACCACAGCCCCCGCCCCAGCCACCGCGGUAGGUGGGUGCCCAAGAGACUUCUCAGGUGAGGGCAGGGGCCCCCUGAAAGGCACUAGAGAAGGCCUGCCGCCCGAAUCUCCCCAAGUGCAGGGGAGAAUUACAUUUCCCCACCUCCUACCCAACCUGCCCCGGCCGAGUUAUGGACAUCGCCGCCUCAUUCUAGACUUGAAGGCACUCUGCGGCCACCAAGAGACCACUCCGCAUCCUAGGUCGAGCCUGUGGGAGAAGCACUCGGGGCCCGGGAGGCCGAGGCCUAAGGAAAGCAGCCGAUGGCUCCCAAGACAACUCUGUCCGGCCAGUACUCCAGGGCAACUUCAACCCCACUAGGACCCAGGCCAAAACCAUAUAUAUAUAUAUAUAUAUAUAAAUUAACGCAAAACAGAGCCACUUUGGUGCCUACCCCUCCACAAGUAGGUAGGCACAUCCAGGUAGCUCUGUCAGAAGAUGGGACCUGGCGCCUUGCAGGGGUAGCCCUAUGGAGAUCCAGAAGCCCCGUUUCGAGCUACGAAGUCUCUCUUCUACUGCAGUCUUCUCUCCAACGUGGAGAUCUAGCAACUUCCCUCCCCCUGGGAUUCCCUGUGAAUCCACUCUAGUUGGGAUAUAGCCUCUCUACAGCUCAGUGACGUAGCGCGCCAAAACCAAGUACCCACCCCGGCAACUGGAAGACCUAGCUGUCCUCCAUCCCGCCUCCGCAGUCGAUAAUCUCCAGGAUCCAAGCAAAGUGCCUGUCCACGUUGUCACCAGAUCCACAAGCGCUUUUGAUGAGAGCUGCUACCCUUUUGGAAACACGAUUCCCUCUCCCUAGUAGAGAAGAAUCUAUUCUUCUGGGCUGGCGUAGACAAAGAAUAACCAAGAUAAAGUAUGUGGUGUGAAAAUA